CUUGAUACUUAGUAACACGAAGGCAUCCCUUGGAUGGAGGGGAGUUCUGCAAAGGAAGAAAGGUCCUUGCACUGACCAAACGGGAAAGGACCUAGGGGACAUUCUGCCAAAGGUUCUCCCUCUUGAACUGACUAUAUAUAGGUUCACUUGCUCCUCAUAAGCUCAAUUCUCUCUCCCACUCCCAGUGGAACAGAGGAGGGGAAGGACAGUUGGUCUUCAAGAGAAGCUUGCCUGCUGUGAUAGCUGAGGAAUGGCGGCUGCUGGGAUCCAGUUGGGAUGCAUUUCAGAGACACCAGUGGCACUGUGGAGACAUCAGCCCCACUCUGGGGUGAAGAAGGAAUGACGAGAGACAGGGCAUCCCACAAGGACUGUCCUGUUCAGGAAAGUUGAUGGCAGCAGGAAUCAGGAAUCUGCUCUUCUCAGAGGUUCUUUGCAUCAGCUGUUUACUCAAGAAAUAAUUGUUGAGCAGCUACGUCUGAGCAAGACACUGUGCUAGACCCCAAACAGUGAAAUGUUGAAUUAACCAGUGCCCUGGUCUUCAAGGAGCUUAGAAGUGCUAGCUCUGGAAGUCGUCACCACCACCGCCUCCCUGCCCACGCACUUCGACACACAAACCACCCAGAGGGAGAGAAGGGGGCGUUGGCAAAUGCCAGCAAGACAUAGUUUUACUUGGAUCCUUUUCUGGAAAAUACACAGUUCUCUUUCUGUGCUCAUUUCACCCGCUCGCUCCUUCCCCGCCCCCCUUUCCACCUCUCCUCUCCGGGUCCUCUUCUGCCCUUUCCCCCAGGCUCCGAGACCUGAUUCCCGCCCCACCUACAUCUCCCUCCUCUCCCCACCCCCAACCUGCCCAACCGUUUCUAAGCUAUUUUCUCGUCCCUGGAUUCUUUCCCUGGCUCCCCACACUCAGUCUCCCCAGAUGCCGGCUCCCCUCUCCUCCCCCUGCUCCCCUCUCCUGGGUCUUCGCUUCCAGCACCGGGGACAGCUCCAGCCCCCGGAACAAUGGACCCCACCUUAGGGCUCCUCUAUAAAUUCUCCAUCUUAGUGUGUUGCCCAACUCGUGAUUGGGGAGUACGA